rnacentral:rRNA from 1 species
AUUGAACGCUGGCGGCAUGCCUAACACAUGCAAGUCGAACGAGAAAGUAUCUUCGGAUAUGAGUAGAGUGGCGGACGGGUGAGUAAUGCAUAGGAAUCUGCCUAGUAGUGGGGGGACAACUACCGGAAACGGUAGCUAAUACCGCAUACGUCCUACGGGAGAAAGCCUUCGGGCGCUAUUAGAUAAGCCUAUGUCUGAUUAGCUUGUUGGUGGGGUAAUGGCCCACCAAGGCGACGAUCAGUAGCUGGUCUGAGAGGACGACCAGCCACACUGGGACUGAGACACGGCCCAGACUCCUACGGGAGGCAGCAGUGGGGAAUAUUGGACAAUGGGGGAAACCCUGAUCCAGCAAUGCCGCGUGUGUGAAGAAGGCCUGCGGGUUGUAAAGCACUUUCAGAUGGGAAGAUAAUGACGGUACCAUCAGAAGAAGCACCGGCUAACUCCGUG